rnacentral:rRNA from 1 species
CAAUAGCGUAUAUUUAAGUUGUUGCAGUUAAAAAGCUCGUAGUUGGAUUUCUGCCGAGGACGACCGGUCCGCCCUCUGGGUGAGUAUCUGGCUCGGCCUGGGCAUCUUCUUGGAGAACGUAGCUGCACUUGACUGUGUGGUGCGGUAUCCAGGACUUUUACUUUGAGGAAAUUAGAGUGUUUCAAGCAGGCUUACGCCUUGAAUACAUUAGCAUGGAAUAAUAAGAUAGGACCUCGGUUCUAUUUUGUUGGUUUCUAGAGCUGAGGUAAUGAUUAAUAGGGAUAGUUGGGGGCAUUCGUAUUUAACUGUCAGAGGUGAAAUUCUUGGAUUUAUUAAAGACGGACUACUGCGAAAGCAUUUGCCAAGGAUGUUUUCAUUGA